AAACCAUAUGAUGAAUUUGGUCACUUUCUCACGACGGUCGUCUGAGAUUUACUUUGAUGUAAUGAUCCAAUUUUCUGAUGGUU